rnacentral:lncRNA from 1 species
CGGGUGCCUAUAAUCCCAGCUACGUGGGAGGCUAAGGCAGGAGAAUUGCUUGAACUCAGGAGGUAGAGGUUGCAGUGAGCCAAGAUCGUGCCACUGCACUCCAGCCUGGGUGACAGAGUGAGACUCCAUCUCUAAAAAAAUAAAAUAAGAAAUAAAGCUAAAAUAAGCAGAGUGGGAACAAGUACACUGAUAAGCGAGUUGGAGCAGGAGUGUGCAGGCAGUCAAGAAGGCAGGCAACUGUGCAGGUCAGUACCCCGUGGGCAUUGAUUAUUUGCAUUUCAGAGGACGUGGAGAGAGACAGGUAAGCUGGCGAGUAAGCUGAGCUGAACUGAUGGAACUUCCUCUGAAGUUUAUACUGCUGAAUCUAGACUAUCGCUUUGUUCUCCCCUAUCUCGAGCUCACAUUAUAAAUUUCCAUUUAUAAUUCUUGGUUCUCUGUGUAUUCUCUCAGAAACAACUGCCAUUGUAUGAGUAGGAGUUACCUGUCUCUCAGUGAAAGAAACCCAAGCAAAGUUCUUUCUAGUAGCUUCUGGCCCAGCCGAAUAACAAUUAGGCUUAAAUGAGUGGCACCUGAAAUUCAGAGUGGCCGAUCUCUACUUCAAAAAGCAGCUCCAGGGAGUCCUUAGACCUCCAGAAAUUACAUGAAGCAUUCUGUUCAUACGUGCAUCUUUCUGAGAAGAAAUGACUUUUCCAGAAUCCUUAAGGGGUCUGUGAUCCCCUAAAGAUCAAGAAUCACUACUUACACGUGACUUUGUCCACUCAGGGGAAGAAAAGUACUUGGUGAUCUCAGCGAAAGAUGUCUUUAACUGCUAAGCUGCUUUUUCCAACUGGCAGAAGCCCUUGAGAAGAGUUUAUUAAGAAUGAAGGAAAAAAAUAAUCCCUGUGUAGUUUACACAACUGUUCCUAAAAUUCAUCCCCCACCCAUGCAUUAAGCAGUACCAUGUGCCGAGAGCCGUUCUCAGCCUGGGGGUACAGCCCUAAACAAGUGCCCACCGUCCCGGCCCUUUGGAAGCUGCAUUCCACGGGGACAUCUGCAGACCACAGAGAAGAACAGUGAAUAAAAGAGGUA